AGAUGUGUGGGCUAUCUGGCUGCAAUGUCUGUCACCUCAUUGAUCACCAGUGUGAUUGGCUGAUCUGGUUGGCUAGGCGGGUGUCUCCUUCCUCCCUCACUGCUCCACGUGGUUCCCUCCUGCUCAGUCCAAGAAGACAACCUUUCCCGCUAGAGGAGGACCAGUCUUCCAUCAGUGAUAUAUGAGUAGCUGCGCUCUUCUCCUAGAACUUCCAAAUAAGCUCUUAAGAAAAAGGACUUAGAUAUAAGAAGAGGGGCUUUUUUGGAGCCCUUCCUA
rnacentral:snRNA from 1 species